CGUACACAAAAAUGCACAUACUGUGAGCUCGAUGAGUAGGGCGGGACACGUGGUAUCCUGUCUGAAUAUGGGGGGACCAUCCUCCAAGGCUAAAUACUCCUGACUGACCGAUAGUGAACCAGUACCGUGAGGGAAAGGCGAAAAGAACCCCGGCGAGGGGAGUGAAAAAGAACCUGAAACCGUGUACGUACAAGCAGUGGGAGCACGCUUCGGCGUGUGACUGCGUACCUUUUGUAUAAUGGGUCAGCGACUUAUAUUCUGUAGCAAGGUUAACCGAAUAGGGGAGCCGAAGGGAAACCGAGUCUUAACUGGGCGUUAAGUUGCAGGGUAUAGACCCGAAACCCGGUGAUCUAGCCAUGGGCAGGUUGAAGGUUGGGUAACACUAACUGGAGGACCGAACCGACUAAUGUUGAAAAAUUAGCGGAUGACUUGUGGCUGGGGGUGAAAGGCCAAUCAAACCGGGAGAUAGCUGGUUCUCCCCGAAAGCUAUUUAGGUAGCGCCUCGUGAAUUCAUCUCCGGGGGUAGAGCACUGUUUCGGCAAGGGGGUCAUCCCGACUUACCAACCCGAUGCAAACUGCGAAUACCGGAGAAUGUUAUCACGGGAGACACACGGCGGGUGCUAACGUCCGUCGUGAAGAGGGAAACAACCCAGACCGCCAGCUAAGGUCCCAAAGUCAUGGUUAAGUGGGAAACGAUGUGGGAAGGCCCAGACAGCCAGGAUGUUGGCUUAGAAGCAGCCAUCAUUUAAAGAAAGCGUAAUAGCUCACUGGUCGAGUCGGCCUGCGCGGAAGAUGUAACGGGGCUAAACCAUGCACCGAAGCUGCGGCAGCGACGCUGAUGCGUUGUUGGGUAGGGGAGCGUUCUGUAAGCCUGCGAAGGUGUGCUGUGAGGCAUGCUGGAGGUAUCAGAAGUGCGAAUGCUGACAUAAGUAACGAUAAAGCGGGUGAAAAGCCCGCUCGCCGGAAGACCAAGGGUUCCUGUCCAACGUUAAUCGGGGCAGGGUGAGUCGACCCCUAAGGCGAGGCCGAAAGGCGUAGUCGAUGGGAAACAGGUUAAUAUUCCUGUACUUGGUGUUACUGCGAAGGGGGGACGGAGAAGGCUAUGUUGGCCGGGCGACGGUUGUCCCGGUUUAAGCGUGUAGGCUGGUUUUCCAGGCAAAUCCGGAAAAUCAAGGCUGAGGCGUGAUGACGAGGCACUACGGUGCUGAAGCAACAAAUGCCCUGCUUCCAGGAAAAGCCUCUAAGCAUCAGGUAACAUCAAAUCGUACCCCAAACCGACACAGGUGGUCAGGUAGAGAAUACCAAGGCGCUUGAGAGAACUCGGGUGAAGGAACUAGGCAAAAUGGUGCCGUAACUUCGGGAGAAGGCACGCUGAUAUGUAGGUGAGGUCCCUCGCGGAUGGAGCUGAAAUCAGUCGAAGAUACCAGCUGGCUGCAACUGUUUAUUAAAAACACAGCACUGUGCAAACACGAAAGUGGACGUAUACGGUGUGACGCCUGCCCGGUGCCGGAAGGUUAAUUGAUGGGGUCAGCGCAAGCGAAGCUCUUGAUCGAAGCCCCGGUAAACGGCGGCCGUAACUAUAACGGUCCUAAGGUAGCGAAAUUCCUUGUCGGGUAAGUUCCGACCUGCACGAAUGGCGUAAUGAUGGCCAGGCUGUCUCCACCCGAGACUCAGUGAAAUUGAACUCGCUGUGAAGAUGCAGUGUACCCGCGGCAAGACGGAAAGACCCCGUGAACCUUUACUAUAGCUUGACACUGAACAUUGAGCCUUGAUGUGUAGGAUAGGUGGGAGGCUUUGAAGUGUGGACGCCAGUCUGCAUGGAGCCGACCUUGAAAUACCACCCUUUAAUGUUUGAUGUUCUAACGUUGACCCGUAAUCCGGGUUGCGGACAGUGUCUGGUGGGUAGUUUGACUGGGGCGGUCUCCUCCUAAAGAGUAACGGAGGAGCACGAAGGUUGGCUAAUCCUGGUCGGACAUCAGGAGGUUAGUGCAAUGGCAUAAGCCAGCUUGACUGCGAGCGUGACGGCGCGAGCAGGUGCGAAAGCAGGUCAUAGUGAUCCGGUGGUUCUGAAUGGAAGGGCCAUCGCUCAACGGAUAAAAGGUACUCCGGGGAUAACAGGCUGAUACCGCCCAAGAGUUCAUAUCGACGGCGGUGUUUGGCACCUCGAUGUCGGCUCAUCACAUCCUGGGGCUGAAGUAGGUCCCAAGGGUAUGGCUGUUCGCCAUUUAAAGUGGUACGCGAGCUGGGUUUAGAACGUCGUGAGACAGUUCGGUCCCUAUCUGCCGUGGGCGCUGGAGAACUGAGGGGGGCUGCUCCUAGUACGAGAGGACCGGAGUGGACGCAUCACUGGUGUUCGGGUUGUCAUGCCAAUGGCACUGCCCGGUAGCUAAAUGCGGAAGAGAUAAGUGCUGAAAGCAUCUAAGCACGAAACUUGCCCCGAGAUGAGUUCUCCCUGACCCUUUAAGGGUCCUGAAGGAACGUUGAAGACGACGACGUUGAUAGGCCGGGUGUGUAAGCGCAGCGAUGCGUUGAGCUAACCGGUACUAAUGAACCGUGAGGCUUAACCU
rnacentral:rRNA from 1 species